ACCUUUUUUUAGAGCAGACAGUAGCCCCCUCACCGCAGGUCUCCCCAGACAGACACCUGUUUUAUGAUGAGGCAUGUGACGCCAGCAUCCCACUAGCUCUAUCUGCAACCACCAAUGUUGAUGGUCUCAUUCUUCUGCCCUCUGUCUGCGUGAACGGGAAUCCAGUGGAAACGUCUCCCCUCACUCACCAACCCCCAUCAUUGAUACUACAGCAACCCAAGCCACAGAUACAGAUCCAGCAAGAACCAACCAAAACCCCACCUCAGACAAGUCCACCAGAGAAAGCCAUACUGACUGGGGCCCAGACAGCUCAACCCUCAGAGCCCAAACACCCACCCGGGCCUGAACCUCAGGUUCAGCCACUGAAGGCUGAGUUUAAGCCCAGCAGGCCUGAGCAUCAGUUCCCUGCCCUAGGGGUUCUGCAAAAGGGCUCGCCACUCUCCCUGUCCUUGCAGAACCUCUCUCGCCGUGGGGAGGAGCAGCAAGGUGGAGGCCCUCUAGAUGGCCGCCGCUGGUCCUUUGAUAAACCUGGUGAAAAGGAGAAAGCCGCCAUCGCAGCGGAGCUGGAGCAUGUGGUGUUUGUGGCUGAUGAUGCAGUGGAGGCGACCGGUACUGUGAGCGAGACAGAAGUUCACAGUAAAAAGAGGCGGGGCUUGUUCUCACAUGGACGGGUCGAAUCUGCUGGCAAAGGGCAAGGGGCAGGCAAAGACGAGACAGGCCACACCCAAAAUAUUGCUGAAGGAAAACAGAGAGGAUGGUUCACCUCUAAAGACACGUACAGUAAACCAAGCCAGCUGGUGUCUCAUCAGAACGACUUCACAACUAUUACCCUUUCAUCCCUGACCCCCAGUGGCUGGUCACAUGCCAUGGCGGACCAACAGACUAACCCAUUCACUUCACCCCCAUUCCCCUCUCCUGACAACCCUUUCUUCUCGACACUUCAGCAGAAUCCUUUUUUCCAAGAGCUGCAUACUGUUGCUCCUUUAACUCCUGCUUUGCCCUCUUUCUUUAGCCCAGACCACUGCCAACUUGAAGCACCUCCCUCCUUUCCAUGUAACCCCACCCCUUUUGUGGAUUUAGCAAAGACUGGAAGUACAAAGGGAUGCCCAGUGGAUGAAG
ensembl:lncRNA